AAAAUUGACACACCUGAAAGCUAGUGUUUGGGAAGACAACAACCCAGGGCUGUUCUGUUUCUGACUCAAGAUAUUGGAGCAAGCUAUGCCUCUCCAUGGAGAUGAGGAAGCCUGCAGCCCCCGAAGGUCACGGAUGCUGUUGGAGCCACGAGGAAGAGCCAUCAGCCCAGGGAGACCCUGAGGGUCAGGGCAUCUCCAUGGAUGAACUCCGUGUACUGCUGGACUCAUCCAACCCUUCGUGGACAUCACUUUGUAGUGAAAAUCCCUUUUGUUGUUGAAGAAAGCCUGAGUUGGGUGAUUUAUUACUCAUAAACCUCAUUUUCUUCCACCUUAUG
rnacentral:lncRNA from 1 species